AUGGCCUCAAAUUCUGACUCCUCCAUAACCGUGUUCCCACCAGCAGUGUUAAUUGAGGGGCAUACACGGAGGCCCUGCGGGUUAAGCACCUGGUACUCGGGGACACGUCUCUUCAGUCCUCUUACGCCGGGGUCCAGGCUUUUGGUGCCGGGUCCGUGGUCGCGCGCCGCCCGCUCGCCCCUCUCCAUCCCCUCGGCGCCAAGUCCAGCUGGGCAAGCGUUGCCAUGGCAGCGCCGCGGGCGGGGAUGCAGGAGGCUGAGCGCGCCGCCGUCCUCGCCCCUUUGUGCUGCGGGGGCGACCAUGCGCUCCCCCUACUCCCGGCGGCCUCCAGCCUCCCGGUCCCGACCCCCGGGAGCGGGCAGAGGCAGCUACAAAGACGACGCCGGCUGCGCUCGAGGGACCAGAGGGAGGGAGGCUGCGGACGAGCGCGGGGAGGAGUUUGCGAUGGGAGGCGCUCGCAAGGGCUCCCCCAGUUCUGCGCUGAUAGCCCGGGCACAAAGAGCCCUCUGCACUCGCGCCGCAGGACCGCCGACCCGAGCUGAGGCAUCACCCUGCCCGCCCAUGUCGUUCCAGACGCCUUCCCGUGGCCGCCAUGACCCUGACAGCAUCAGAGGGAUAGCUGAGGGGACCCUUUCUCUCCUCUGCACCCCCAAGGACAGCAGACACCAGCUUCAUGCCGCGUGGUCGGGUCCACCACGAAAUCCAUACGUGCGGAGGCCUCCUGAAUCUCAGAGGUAG
rnacentral:lncRNA from 1 species